rnacentral:rRNA from 1 species
UGGUGGCGAGUGGCGAACGGGUGAGUAAUAUAUCGGAACGUGCCCAGUCGUGGGGGAUAACGCAGCGAAAGCUGUGCUAAUACCGCAUACGAUCUAUGGAUGAAAGCGGGGGAUCGCAAGACCUCGCGCGAUUGGAGCGGCCGAUAUCAGAUUAGCUAGUUGGUGGGGUAAAAGCCCACCAAGGCGACGAUCUGUAGCUGGUCUGAGAGGACGACCAGCCACACUGGAACUGAGACACGGUCCAGACUCCUACGGGAGGCAGCAGUGGGGAAUUUUAGACAAUGGGCGCAAGCCUGAUCCAGCAAUGCCGCGUGCAGGAUGAAGGCCUUCGGGUUGUAAACUGCUUUUGUACGGAACGAAACGGUUCUUUUUAAUAAAGAGAGCUAAUGACGGUACCGUAAGAAUAAGCACCGGCUAACUACGUGCCAGCAGCCGCGGUAAUACGUAGGGUGCGAGCGUUAAUCGGAAUUACUGGGCGUAAAGCGUGCGCAGGCGGUUAUAUAAGACAGAUGUGAAAUCCCCGGGCUCAACCUGGGACCUGCAUUUGUGACUGUAUAGCUAGAGUACG